rnacentral:rRNA from 1 species
UACGUAGGGGGCAAGCGUUGUCCGGAAUUAUUGGGCGUAAAGCGCGCGCAGGCGGCUGUUUAAGUCUGGUGUUUAAGCUCAGGGCUCAACCUUGGGACGCACCGGAAACUGGGCAGCUUGAGUGCAGGAGAGGGAAGUGGAAUUCCACGUGUAGCGGUGAAAUGCGUAGAGAUGUGGAGGAACACCAGUGGCGAAGGCGACUUUCUGGCCUGUAACUGACGCUGAGGCGCGAAAGCGUGGGGAGCAAACAGG